UGGGGAAUAUUGCACAAUGGAGGGAACUCUGAUGCAGCGACGCCGCGUGAGUGAUGAAGGACUUCGUUUCGUAAAACUCUGUUCUAUGGGAAGAAAAGGACUGUACCAUAGGAGAAAGCUCCGGCUAAAUACGUGCCAGCAGCCGCGGUAAUACGUAUGGAGCGAGCGUUGUCCGGAAUUAUUGGGCGUAAAGGGUGCGCAGGCGGCUUUACAAGUUGGAUGAGAAAUAUUGUGGCUCAACCACAAACGUGCAUCCAAAACUGCAAAGCUUGAGUUAAGGAGAGGUAAGUGGAAUUCCUGGUGUAGCGGUGGAAUGCGUAGAUAUCAGGAGGAAUACCGGUGGCGAAGGCGACUUACUGGACUUAAACUGACGCUCAGGCACGAAAGCGUGGGGAGCAAACAGG
rnacentral:rRNA from 1 species